rnacentral:rRNA from 1 species
GACGAACGCUGGCGGCGUGCUUAACACAUGCAAGUCGAACGGAAAGGCCCUGCUUUUGUGGGGUGCUCGAGUGGCGAACGGGUGAGUAACACGUGAGUAACCUGCCCUUGACUUUGGGAUAACUUCAGGAAACUGGGGCUAAUACCGGAUAGGAGCUCCUGCUGCAUGGUGGGGGUUGGAAAGUUUCGGCGGUUGGGGAUGGACUCGCGGCUUAUCAGCUUGUUGGUGGGGUAGUGGCUUACCAAGGCAUUGACGGGUAGCCGGCCUGAGAGGGUGACCGGCCACAUGGGGACUGCGAUAGGGAGCAGACUGCUACGGGAGGCAGCAGUGGAGAAUAUUGCACAGUGGGGGGAAGCCUGAUGCAGCAGCGCCGCGUGCGGGAUGACGGCCUUCGGGUGGUAAACCGCUUUCGCCUGUGACGAAGCGUGAGUGACGGUAAUGGGUAAAGAAGCACCGGCUAACUACGUG